GUUUUUUUGGUUUUUAUUUAAUUCCAUUUAGGGAAAGAUUCCAAUUCUGGAAUUGUCCAGAAGUGGAAUAUGCCAAAUUUGGCAUAUAACAUGUUAUAACUAGUGACUGAAUUUUUGUUAUGAUUGUGGGUGAUUGUUCUACAAUAACAUAGGCUUGUGAUAUAUGAAUUUGGGGUAGAAAAUCCAAGGAAUUCAAUGGUGGCACUAGUUUUGUCUUUUGAGAAGGUUUUUAUGGAUGCUAUUUUGUGCUAAGAUGCCAUUUUGUUAAUUUUCUGUGCAUCAAUUCUUGCACCCUUUGUCAACUUGUCAACAUGAAAGUUGUAGUGUUUAUGGAGUACUAGG
rnacentral:lncRNA from 1 species